rnacentral:snoRNA from 1 species
AUGCAGGUACUGUUAACAUACGAAGUGUUUUAUUGUCUUUUCCCCUGCUUAAAGUGUUUGAUACAUACUGUCUAACUUACUCUUUCAUAAAAACAU